rnacentral:rRNA from 1 species
CCUACGGGGGGCAGCAGUGGGGAAUAUUGGACAAUGGGGGCAACCCUGAUCCAGCCAUGCCGCGUGUGUGAAGAAGGCCCUCGGGUUGUAAAGCACUUUCAGUGAGGAAGAACGCCUGGUGGUUAAUACCCAUCAGGAAAGACAUCACUCACAGAAGAAGCACCGGCUAACUCCGUGCCAGCAGCCGCGGUAAUACGGAGGGUGCGAGCGUUAAUCGGAAUUACUGGGCGUAAAGCGCGCGUAGGUGGCUUGAUAAGCCGGUUGUGAAAGCCCCGGGCUCAACCUGGGAGCGGCAUCCGGAACUGUCAAGCUAGAGGGCAGGAGAGGAAGGUAGAAUUCCCGGUGUAGCGGUGAAAUGCGUAGAGAUCGGGAGGAAUACCAGUGGCGAAGGCGGCCUUCUGGACUGACACUGACACUGAGGUGCGAAAGCGUGGGUAGCAAACAGGAUUAGAUACCCCUGUAGUC